AGAAAGAAUAAGGGCGUCCUCUGAGACCCAUAGGGCAACAUGGAAACUUGACAGCAGCUGCCUGCAGAAUGCACAUAAGGUUUUUGGCAUUGUGCUUGCACUGAAUAAAAGCAAGCAGCUCCAGCUUCUCCGGGCUGCUCUUUGGACACCAGAGCCAGGCAGUCACCUAGCUGCUCUUACAGUGCAUACCUGUGUCUGAAUGGUCAUUUCAUCCAUCUGCCAGCGUCUGCAGGACAGAGCCAGCAGGUGGUGCCCUGUGUGAGGAAUGCUGCAACAGAUUGUGACAAAACCCUCGAGAAUGAAAGUGAAGUGACUGCGCACCCCGCCGUUACCGAGUAAAGGUGCCACAGAGGAGACAAAUAUUUUCCCUGAGCCCUCUCUCCCAAUAUAUUGGAAAAAAUACAAGGGAUACACUACUGUUAUGGGACCCUGUCUUAGUCAAGUGGAAUUAGAAGGGAGCUCUUGACCUGCCCAGUGAUGCAAGAUCAACAAGACAAUCAGUAAGAAACGUACAAACAUUAAGAAGAGCCUAUUCAGAAAAGACAG
rnacentral:lncRNA from 1 species